rnacentral:misc_RNA from 1 species
AACGCACCUUGCACCCUCUGGUAUUCUGGAGGGUAUGCCUGUUUGAGUGUCAUUAAUCUCUCAACACGAGAAAACUUGUUUCUUGUGCUUGGAAAGUGAAGGUUUUGCUGGCGCAAAUAACUGUCAGCUCCUUUUAAAUGCAUUAGCAGAACAGUGUAGGACUGGCCUCAGUUUGAUAAGAAAUAUUUAUCUAUGCUGUCGCUAGAUUUCCUCUUUGUGUUCAGCUUCAAACUGUCUUUGGACUGUCUCUCUUGAGGCAAAAUAAUUUAUUGAUCGACCUCAAAUCAGGUAGGACUACCCGCUGAACUUAA